UAUUGUGGUAAAAAUAUUAAUCAGAGAAACUCUUAUAAAAAAUUCUUUCAAUGUGAUAUCGUCUCUCAGGAUUAUCAUGAAUUUCAGGAUAAAUUCUAAGAGAAAAUUCUCUCUGUGUAGAUUCCAGUUUUAUCGUAUUAGAAUCUGAGCAGGAGGCGCGCAAUUUUGCAAACUUCCGAGAGAGAUAUUUAGUUUAUAGCGACGAUGCUUUUUUGACUAACGAUUAAAAACGGUUCAGUCGCGCUCUCGAUGAUCUCAGUGGCAAUUACUCACGCAGGCAGGAAGGCCGUUUAGCAAAUAACCUUGCUAAACUAAAACCGGUGCGUACGCGGCUCGUUAAGGCCGCCAGCAACGCAUCACUUCUUCUUGUUGCGUACAGCAUACGUGUAUACAUGUAUGUACAUAUACACAUACACGCACGAUACACCUUCUCUCGUUUUACACGCGUAAUCUCGGAUGCACCUGCCGAUAGAUACGGGUGCGAUGCAUCCGUAAGCACGUGUAUGAGUUCCCGCUCUCGCAGGCUUCUUUGACGUUCGUAGCUACAUAAGAUGAGAGCGGAUCGCGAUCGAGAGAAUUACACGGUUUCAAGAUAAAAUAAAUUCAUCCAUCAUAUCUCGAUUUCUCUUCAAGCAAGAAUGUGAAAGAAAAAAUGAAGUCGCCGAAAUAUACAUAUACAUAUCUGCUCGCUCUAAUAAGAUGAAAUAUAUUCAUCAAACAGCAAUUACAUGAACGCAUCUGUCGCGCCAGGAAUUUGGUGAGACAGGUAAGAAGACGAAAUUCGGAAGAAUCUCGCCGCAAAAAGGGCGAGAAGAAGAGCGAAGGCGACGAAGCGGAAGGGGAAAAUCGGAGCAAAACGACACGCGCGCGCGGACGAAGGUUGGUAUAGCAGGAUGAACAGGACGUGUGCAACAGUGAGAAGAAGGAAGAAGAAAAGGGAGGAUGAGAGUAACGUGGCGAGGAGCCUCAGCCUCCGGCUCUAUACGCUCUCUGUCUCUCUAAUUGGAUUGCAUUCCAUGCGGUAGCAAGUAAUGGGCCAAUUACAGUAGCUGAUGGCAGACCAACCUUUAUGGCUCCCGAGAUAUCAUUACUUCGAAUGGGAUUAGAGAAACUCAUACGGUUUCCGCUGCGAUAAAUAAAAACUUUGCAUCCUCGCGAUUACUUCGCACGUUCACCUUCCCUCACCACUUGCUCGUCGUUCGCCGAUCAUUGCUCGGUCUUUCUUAUUGGAUACUCCAGUUCUACCAGGCUUACGCGAAAUUACGAGAAGCAAAGAGAUGAAAACGCGCGCAGAAAUAGUGCGUGAGCAUCUUAGCUUAUUCCAGAUUAAUAACAGCCUCUCGUUCGAGGUCGAUGUUUUCACGAUCUAAAUCGAGCUAUCGCGUUCCUUUCCUCUUUGUUUUUCUUCAAAAUUCUUGACAAAUUAUUAUAUAUCAGUUAGAGAAUAUAUAAAAUAAUUGGCCGCAAAUUAAAUCUUGCCAUUUAUUAGAAACCAUUUUGUUGUGUAUACGUAUCAAUUAAAUGCGGAGCGCUUUCCGUAUACGACAUUAGAUUCGCGUGAAUACACUGGAUAUCUUUUAUUUUUUCCUAUAUAAUUAUGUAUAUAAGGAAGGCAAUAUAAAUUGAAAUCAUAUUUGCAUUAAACGCACGUAUGGAUAAAUUCCACAAUCCAGUGAUAUUCACCGAACUAUAUAUGGUAAGUUCAUAACUUAGUCGGCUAGAUUUCUUGAAUAUUGAUUUAUAUAAUAUCGAAAAGGUUAAAACCCCGGAAUCGGGGAUUUUUAUAUUAAAUUAUCUCUUCAUUUAAAUAAAUAUCAGUU